AGAGUUUGAUCCUGGCUCAGGAUGAACGCUAGCUACAGGCUUAACACAUGCAAGUCGAGGGGAAACGACAUCGAAAGCUUGCUUUUGAUGGGCGUCGACCGGCGCACGGGUGAGUAACGCGUAUCCAACCUGCCCACCACUUGGGGAUAACCUUGCGAAAGUAAGACUAAUACCCAAUGACGUCUCUAGAAGACAUCUGAAAGAGAUUAAAGAUUUAUCGGUGAUGGAUGGGGAUGCGUCUGAUUAGCUUGUUGGCGGGGUAACGGCCCACCAAGGCAACGAUCAGUAGGGGUUCUGAGAGGAAGGUCCCCCACAUUGGAACUGAGACACGGUCCAAACUCCUACGGGAGGCAGCAGUGAGGAAUAUUGGUCAAUGGGCGAGAGCCUGAACCAGCCAAGUAGCGUGCAGGAUGACGGCCCUAUGGGUUGUAAACUGCUUUUAUAAGGGAAUAAAGUGAGUCUCGUGAGACUUUUUGCAUGUACCUUAUGAAUAAGGACCGGCUAAUUCCGUGCCAGCAGCCGCGGUAAUACGGAAGGUCCGGGCGUUAUCCGGAUUUAUUGGGUUUAAAGGGAGCGCAGGCGGACCUUUAAGUCAGCUGUGAAAUACGGCGGCUCAACCGUCGAACUGCAGUUGAUACUGGAGGUCUUGAGUGCACACAGGGAUACUGGAAUUCAUGGUGUAGCGGUGAAAUGCUCAGAUAUCAUGAAGAACUCCGAUCGCGAAGGCAGGUAUCCGGGGUGCAACUGACGCUGAUGCUCGAAAGUGCGGGUAUCAAACAGGAUUAGAUACCCUGGUAGUCCGCACAGUAAACGAUGAAUACUCGCGAUUUGCGAUACACAGUAAGUCGCCAAGCGAAAGCGUUAAGUAUUCCACCUGGGGAGUACGCCGGCAACGGUGAAACUCAAAUGAAUUGACGG
rnacentral:rRNA from 1 species